UUUCAUCAUAACAAACUCUGACAAGAUGAAACCAAAAAGUUUCACCAUUUACCGCAGUUCUCGCCAUUUUCUUGCAACCGUGCCGAAUUAGAAAAGGAUAGCAUUACGCGAACUGGAAAACUUUUUGUAUAUCAAUGUAGCAAAAAUACAGAUGCCGGAAUUAUAACAAUCACUAAAGAUGAACAAAAAAUGUUCACAUCUCGUUGAGAACUUUGGUUCACAAGGCUGGUCAGUCGUCUCAUGGAAGCGUGUGGAGAUGCAAUAGAUUUGUUCCCAGGUUUGUCCCAGUAUACACUGCUUGAUCCUAGUUUCUCCGGAGUAAACAAGAGCGAAACAAAUACUCCUUUUCAUUCUGGUUUGCUGCCGUUGAGCCAAAGAACUCGCACCAUGUCCAGCCACCGGACCAACAAUGUUCAAUGAAAAUAUACGCCUCAAGUUACCUUUGUUGUGAAUGACCCAUUACUCUAUGCGUAUGAUUUUAACAGGAAUUCGUGUUGAGCACACAAUUAAAUUACAAAAAACACCUUGAACUCUGUGUGAAGAUAAGCGCAGAGCGUAAGGAAAAUCCAGAGUGAAAGUUGAUUCUUGAAAUAUCAACGUGCUUCCGAUCGAUGAUUACGCACAGUGAAACUUAAGUAUAUGCCGAAUUUAUCUGUUUGUAUUAUUUCAAAGAGCUUUAAAUUUAAAACAGAUGUAAACUGCGUUGACACCAGAUGGCAUGCGAAGGUGUAGAAGAACUGCUUAGACAUGGCUCUUGGUCACUAGCAGCAACAUUUUAGACUAACAUCAAUUAGGGAUGAAUUGAAGACAAAUGGCCAAUUGAGGUAUUAAGGCUUCGGAUUUGAUCAGCAAACGGGUGACGUUUUCGUGAUUCGCCUGAUCCCGGAGAUUGUAUGUGUACAUACUGUGGUGCUACAUACGAAUAUUGAUUCUGUACCUUGCUGGAAGAAGCUCAACCUCGUGUUGAAGUAAUAGGCAUUAGGUUUGUUCUAGUACACGGAAGUUGUCCCGGAAAGAAAAAAUGAACCCUAUCGGCAUAAAAUACGGUAUACGGGCAAUCUGGAAUCAUCAAAAUUUUCGUCGUUUUAAUAUUAUACAAAGCAAUGUUCUUGCUAAAUAUUACAAAAAAUGGUACACCAGUCCGUCGACACCAUUGACAGUCACAUCCGAUCUACACAUAAACUCAGUAAUCAUGAUGAGAAGCGUUUUAGCCCGUACAAACGAAUAGUCAUACACUCAACAGCAGGACUUCUGCUGCGUCGACGAUUAGUGUGAAGAAACAUCCACGACUUUUAUAGAGUUCCAGCACAAUUACACCAACGAGACGCCCGAACGAACGAUUUCGGGUAUCAUCCACAGCUAGUACUGUAACCUUUCUCCAGUGGGCAAAUCACAAACAGUACAAUUUGAUACCAUCGUCGACGAACUAGCAAUAGAACAGUGAACUCGCCAGAAUCUUGUCGUUUUUCAUUGAAAUACACUGGGGCGGUGAAUUGCAUUGGUUUUGCACAUUCUAGCAGAAGUGGGAAUGAACCACGUCUAGUGGCCUGCUCUUCAGCUAGAAAAGGCAACAUCAGUGCAAUCAAUGAAAUGAAAAACCCCAUUAGCAUAAUUAACCCUCCGGCACUCGCCGGAAUGGCUCCCCGAAUGAGCAGCCGCUGGUGCUGAAAGAUGAUUUCGCUAGUUUUGGAAGGUGUUACACAAAAUACAACGGCGCGAGUGCCGGAGGGUUAAGGCUAGUAUUGUAGCGAGUGAUUCGAAAGCAGCAGCACUGCUAACAUAACACAAGAAAAAACCAUUUAAUUGAUUAGGAUCAGAAAAUUUUGUUUAUUACGAUCAUUUCUCACUUCCUAACAAAACCCCCAUUCAACAAAAAGAAAAAUAUCAAUAAAGCAGCUAUAUUUUCCAA